UACAGAGGGUGCGAGCGUUGUCCGGAAUUAUUGGGCGUAAAGAGCUCGUAGGCGGUCUGUUGCGUCGGCUGUGAAAACCCGAGGCUCAACCUCGGGCCUGCAGCCGAUACGGGCAGACUAGAGUUCGGCAGGGGAGACUGGAAUUCCUGGUGUAGCGGUGAAAUGCGCAGAUAUCGGGAGGAACACCGGUGGCGAAGGCGGGUCUCUGGGCCGAUACUGACGCUGAGGAGCCAAAGCGUGGGGAGCGAACAGG
rnacentral:rRNA from 1 species